ACGCUCGACACCUACGGGAGGAGCAGUGGGGAAUAUUGCACAAUGGAGGAAACUCUGAUGCAGCGACGCCGCGUGAGGGAAGAAGGUCUUCGGAUUGUAAACCUCUGUUGUCAGGGACGAUGAUGACGGUACCUGACGAGGAAGCCACGGCUAACUACGUGCCAGUAGCCGCCGGUAAGUACUGAGCGGGCGUGGCGAAGGACG
rnacentral:rRNA from 1 species